UACGUAGGGGGCAAGCGUUGUCCGGAAUCAUUGGGCGUAAAGAGCGCGUAGGCGGCUCGGUAAGUCCGCUCUGAAAGCCCGGGGCUCAACCCCGGGAGGCCGGCGGAUACUGUCGGGCUAGAGUCCGGAAGAGGCGAGUGGAAUUCCUGGUGUAGCGGUGAAAUGCGCAGAUAUCAGGAGGAACACCAAUGGCGAAGGCAGCUCGCUGGGACGGUACUGACGCUGAGGCGCGAAAGCGUGGGGAGCAAACAGG
rnacentral:rRNA from 1 species